UGAUGGUGUUUGUUUGUUAUGUAGGAUGCAAUGAAUUGAAGUCACAUGGGUCCAUUCAAACUUAGUUGGUGCAAGAGAGGAAAUUCUUGGUCAAACAUGAUGCUAAAGUCCACCAACAGUAAAUAUGUGUGACAAAAGUACCUAUUUUCAACAGCGGAGUUUGCAUGCAAGGUAACUCUGAUUUUCUACAUGGUGCGGAAUAAUUUAAGUGUAUGAUCCAAAAGUGACAAAAUACAUAUUAUAUAUAUUGUAUUAGCAACUUAAGAAACUUUCCAUUUCCGCUUUCUAACAAUGAUUCUGAAGCCAAGCAGGACUGCCUUAUAGUUAGUCCGAUCAGAGAAACACUCUCAAGUGUUGAGAUCCUUUAUUACGGCCAAUGUUUCAGCCCUACAAAUCUCAGUUUGAGAGAGAUUAGUGAAGAGGUGACCUUUUUUUAUGUAAUUUUACAAUACCAAUGCAUCAAAUUAUACGAUUUUAGAGUUGCAUGCAUGCAUGAGUGUAUUUUUAUUUUGUUGAUUUUAUUAUAUAAUUGAAACCCCUCCACUUGAUGUAUCACAUUUUAGCUUUCUAAAAAAGCUUUUGUAGCCAAGCAGGACCAACACAUCAGCCCGAUCAAGAAAGAACAAAAGGUUUGUUCUACUUUAACAAUACUGGAAAAUGUUUGUUUUACUUUUAACACUAUGGUUAAAAGUUUAGACAUACUGAAUAUUUAUAUUUCUUUUCAUAAAUUUCAGACUAACACUAACAGGAACAAAGUGGGCCAACGAGGGAAGUUGGGGUUGCAACUGCCCUUUAGCAUAUCUAUAUAAUACGCGAAUAGUGUCUUAAAAAAAUAUUUUUUCUCAACAGAACUUGCGGAGCACUUCAACUUAUAGAAAUGAAGUAAUUUUCGAAGUUGACGAUUACGAAAGCCAAGGUAAGAUAAACUAAACAGUAGAGAUGGAGACGUACAUGUUUCAUUGUUGUAAUAUAGUUAUGCUUUUUUUUCAUCUCAUCCGAGUGACAUGGAACAAAAGUAGCAAAGGAUAAGUGGAAAUGGAUACAUUUACAUGGAGCAAAAGUAGAUCCGAAUGAAACCACAAACUAACUUGCCAUGGUAAUUUAUUUUAUUAAAUAUUCUACUAACCUACUUCAUUAAAUGUAAUCAACAAUGAAUUUUGUUUUCUCGUGGGAUGUGUAUUUUUAUGUUUAUUCUAUUUUUUAGAAAGAUAGUCUCAUAGUUGAAAAUUAGUUUUUUAUGGACCAGUCGGGGUUAACAUCAACAUAUAAACUUGACUAGGUAAAUGACCCUAUUACUUACUACUUAAUUUAUAUUAUUAAGUAGUAAUCAAAUCUUUUACUUUUUUUUGGUUUCCAUGUAAGAUAAACAGGUUAAACCCAAUGCACGAUGAGCAACAGGUAAAGUUUAUCUUUCAUAUAUAUAAAGACACACUGUGACAGGGCUGAGAUAUCGACAAUAUCGAUAAUUUUGCAUAAUUUUUUAAUCAUUCCAUUUUUUGUCUUUCAUGCAAGAUGAUCGAGAUUCUAAACACUAAGAAUGCUGACAUGAUGGUAGAGUUAUGUUUACUCAACUGGUCCUUAUUAACCGAGUUAGUUAUUUAGAGGUUGCUAGAAGCAUACCUACUACACCCACUUUCUCCUAAAUUAGUUGAGUUAGUGGUAUUUGCAAGUAAAAAACCAUUUUAUUAAGAAAAUUCAAAAACCUUCAAAAGUAAAUAACUUUUUUAAAAGACACGCUCUAUCUACAUGUUUUCUAAUGUAAUAACAAAAACAUUAAAAGUUAUAUGUAUACUUAAUAGUCUUAUAUAAAAGUUGCACUAAUAAAAAAAGUAUACUUAAUACCAAAACGACUUGCGAGUCAAUCUGCAACUCCAAAUUCUUGAACUUUAUAUCAUAAUCACCCACUAAAUUCACAUCUGAUUCCAUUUUUAUUUCCAUGCAGGGUUGGCAUUGCUCAACGGCCUAGGUUUUGGUAAGAUUAGAAAACCAAUCAUUUGAGUAAAUUCAGGAGCACAUUUAUCCUUUUUACAACUCAUCCUAUAUUUGCCAUGUAUUUAAAUACCCUGGCAUAAAGGCUUUUGAGAAUGCUUCACUAAGGGUGAACUUAUCUUGGCACGGUGGGAUAUAUUAUCACAUAAGAACAUUUAAACCAUGCCACAUGUUGCCCCCUUGCUACCAUAUAUUAGUGUUGAUACUUUGACAAAUGGGCACCAUGCAUCAAGUCAACAAGUCAAAAAAAGGCCAUCUUUGAGGUUAAAGAGGACGAUCCAAAAGCCGAAAAAAUUGAGGGAGUAAACCAUGUUUGACUAUUACAAAACUUUCCCACAUUGUUGCCUACCGUUUACUUUUGCAUUAAAAUAACAUCAUUUCAUGUUUUGUCACUCUAUCACUUUUAUUUUAUAUUGUUGUGUGGUUGUACACUAUUCACGUUCGUUUUCCUUUUAUAAAUUAAAAAUGGUGCUUUUGUUUAUAA